CCUACGGGAGGCAGCAGUGAGGAAUAUUGGUCAAUGGACGAGAGUCUGAACCAGCCAAGUAGCGUGAAGGAUGACUGCCCUAGGGUUUGUAAACUUCUUUUAUAAAGGAAUAAAACGAGGCACGUGUGCCUUUUUGCAUGUACUUUAUGAAUAAGGAUCGGCUAACGUCGUGCCAGCAGCCGCGGGAAUACGGAGGAUUCGAGCGUUAUCCGGAUUUAUUGGGUUUAAAGGGAGCGUAGAUGGGGUGUUAAGUCAGUUGUGAAAGUUUGCGGCUCAACCGUAAAAUUGCAGUUGAUACUGGCAGUCUUGAGUACAGUUGAGGUCGGCGGAAUUCGUGGUGUAGCGGUGAAAUGCUUAGAUAUCACGAAGAACCCCGAUUGCGAAGGCAGCUUACUGAACUGUAACUGACGUUGAUGCUCGAAAGUGUGGGUAGCAAACAGGAUUAGAUACCCGAGUAGUC
rnacentral:rRNA from 1 species